rnacentral:rRNA from 1 species
UCGCACCUACCGAUUGAAUGGUCCGGUGAAUACUUCGGACUGUGAAAUGUUUAGUUUCUAUCCAUUUCACGGAAAGUUGAAUAAACCUUAUCAUUUAGAGGAAGGUG